CUGGGUACCCGUGAAGGCCAGGAGAGGGUGCUGGAGUCUCUUGGAGCUGGAGUUACAAGCAGUUGUGAGCUUCCAGAUGUUGGAUACUGAGGAACCAAAGACUGGUCUCCGGCUAAAGUGGUCCUUCCUCAGCCUCUGGAGUCAGGCAGCUGUGGUACAGUCGUGAGCCACCCACUGGCUACAAACCAUCUCUAGUUCAAAUAUAGAAGAAAAUGAAAGUUUAGUAAAAAACGAAGAAGCGUUUAAAGUCUCCAGUCCAGUUACCACCGGCACCAGAAACUUUUGGCAAG
rnacentral:sRNA from 1 species